rnacentral:rRNA from 1 species
AUUGAACGCUGGCGGCAGGCCUAACACAUGCAAGUCGAACGGUAACAGGAAGCAGCUUGCUGCUUUGCUGACGAGUGGCGGACGGGUGAGUAAUGUCUGGGAAACUGGCUGAUGGAGGGGGAUAACUACUGGAAACGGUAGCUAAUACCGCAUAACGUCGCAAGACCAAAGAGGGGGACCUUCGGGCCUCUUGCCAUCGGAUGUGCCCAGAUGGGAUUAGCUAGUAGGUGGGGUAACGGCUCACCUAGGCGACGAUCCCUAGCUGGUCUGAGAGGAUGACCAGCCACACUGGAACUGAGACACGGUCCAGACUCCUACGGGAGGCAGCAGUGGGGAAUAUUGCACAAUGGGCGCAAGCCUGAUGCAGCCAUGCCGCGUGUAUGAAGAAGGCCUUCGGGUUGUAAAGUACUUUCAGCGGGGAGGAAGGGAGUAAAGUUAAUACCUUUGCUCAUUGACGUUACCCGCAGAAGAAGCACCGGCUAACUCCGUG